rnacentral:rRNA from 1 species
GACGAACGCUGGCGGCGUGCUUAACACAUGCAAGUCGAACGGAAAGGCCCUGCUUUUGUGGGGUGCUCGAGUGGCGAACGGGUGAGUAACACGUGAGUAACCUGCCCUUGACUUUGGGAUAACUUCAGGAAACUGGGGCUAAUACCGGAUAGGAGCUCCUGCUGCAUGGUGGGGGUUGGAAAGUUUCGGCGGUUGGGGAUGGACUCGCGGCUUAUCAGCUUGUUGGUGGGGUAGUGGCUUACCAAGGCUUUGACGGGUAGCCGGCCUGAGAGGGUGACCGGCCACAUUGGGACUGAGAUACGGCCCAGACUCCUACGGGAGGCAGCAGUGGGGAAUAUUGCACAAUGGGCGGAAGCCUGAUGCAGCAACGCCGCGUGCGGGAUGACGGCCUUCGGGUUGUAAACCGCUUUCGCCUGUGACGAAGCGUGAGUGACGGUAAUGGGUAAAGAAGCACCGGCUAACUACGUGCCAGCAGCCGCGGUGAUACGUAGGGUGCGAGCGUUGUCCGGAUUUAUUGGGCGUAAGGGGCUCGUAGGUGGUUGAUCGCGUCGGAGGUGUAAUCUUGGGGCUUAACCCUGAGCGUGCUUUCGAUACGGGUUGACUUGAGGAAGGUAGGGGAGAAUGGAAUUCCUGGUGGAGCGGUGGAAUGCGCAGAUAUCAGGAGGAACACCAGUGGCGAAGGCGGUUCUCUGGGCCUUUCCUGACGCUGAGGAGCGAAAGCGUGGGGAGCGAACAGGCUUAGAUACCCUGGUAGUCCACGCUGUAAACGGUGGGUACUAGGUGUGGGGUCCAUUCCACGGGUUCCGUGCCGUAGCUAACGCUUUAAGUACCCCGCCUGGGGAGUACGGCCGCAAGGCUAAAACUCAAAGGAAUUGACGGGGCCCCGCACAAGCGGCGGAGCAUGCGGAUUAAUUCGAUGCAACGCGUAGAACCUUACCUGGGUUUGACAUGGAUCGGGAGUGCUCAGAGAUGGGUGUGCCUCUUUUGGGGUCGGUUCACAGGUGGUGCAUGGCUGUCGUCAGCUCGUGUCGUGAGAUGUUGGGUUAAGUCCCGCAACGAGCGCAACCCUUGUUCACUGUUGCCAGCACGUUAUGGUGGGGACUCAGUGGAGACCGCCGGGGUCAACUCGGAGGAAGGUGGGGAUGACGUCAAGUCAUCAUGCCCCUUAUGUCCAGGGCUUCACGCAUGCUACAAUGGCUGGUACAGAGAGUGGCGAGCCUGUGAGGGUGAGCGAAUCUCGGAAAGCCGGUCUCAGUUCGGAUUGGGGUCUGCAACUCGACCUCAUGAAGUCGGAGUCGCUAGUAAUCGCAGAUCAGCAACGCUGCGGUGAAUACGUUCCCGGG